UUAAGUUAAUAAGGGCGCACGGUGGAUGCCUUGGCACUAGAAGCCGAUGAAGGACGUGACUAACAACGAAAUGCUUUGGGGAGCUGUAAGUGAGCAAUGAUCCAGAGAUGUCCGAAUGGGGGAACCCGGCAGGUAAUGCCUGUCACUCAUUACUGUUAAGGUAAUGUAGAGGAAGACGCAGUGAACUGAAACAUCUAAGUAGCUGCAGGAAGAGAAAGCAAAAGCGAUUGCCUUAGUAGCGGCGAGCGAAACGGCAAGAGGGCAAACCGAAGAGUUUACUCUUCGGGGUUGUAGGACUGCAACGUGGACUUAAAGAUUAUAGAAGAACUACCUGGGAAGGUAGGCCAAAGGGAGUAAUAGCCUCGUAUUCGAAAUAGUCUUUAUACCUAGCAGUAUCCUGAGUACGGCGAGACACGAGAAAUCUCGUCGGAAUCUGGGAGGACCAUCUCCCAACCCUAAAUACUCUCUAGUGACCGAUAGUGAACCAGUACCGUGAGGGAAAGGUGAAAAGCACCCCGGGAGGGGAGUGAAAUAGAACCUGAAACCGUGUGCCUACAACAAGUUCAAGCCCGUUAAUGGGUGAGAGCGUGCCUUUUGUAGAAUGAACCGGCGAGUUACGAUAUGAUGCGAGGUUAAGUUGAAGAAACGGAGCCGUAGGGAAACCGAGUCUUAAUAGGGCGCAUUAGUAUCAUGUCGUAGACCCGAAACCAUGUGACCUACCCAUGAGCAGGUUGAAGGUGAGGUAAAACUCACUGGAGGACCGAACCAGGGCACGUUGAAAAGUGCUUGGAUGACUUGUGGGUAGCGGAGAAAUUCCAAACGAACUUGGAGAUAGCUGGUUCUCUCCGAAAUAGCUUUAGGGCUAGCGUCGAUGUUAAGUCUCUUGGAGGUAGAGCACUGUUUGGGUGAGGGGUCCAUCCCGGAUUACCAAUCUCAGAUAAACUCCCGAAUGCCAAUGAGAUAUAAUCGGCAGUCAGACUGCGAGUGCUAAGAUCCGUAGUCGAAAAGGGAACAGCCCAGACCACCAGCUAAGGUCCCAAAAUAUAUGUUAAGUGGAAAAGGAUGUGGGGUUGCACAGACAACUAGGAUGUUAGCUUAGAAGCAGCUAUUCAUUCAAAGAGUGCGUAAUAGCUCACUAGUCGAGUGACCCUGCGCCGAAAAUGUACCGGGGCUAAAACAUAUUACCGAAGCUGUGGAUACCUUUAUAGGUAUGGUAGGAGAGCGUUCUAUGUGCGAAGAAGGUGUACCGUGAGGAGUGCUGGAGCGCAUAGAAGUGAGAAUGCCGGUAUGAGUAGCGAAAGACAGGUGAGAAUCCUGUCCACCGUAAGACUAAGGUUUCCAGGGGAAGGCUCGUCCGCCCUGGGUUAGUCGGGACCUAAGGAGAGACCGAAAGGUGUAUCCGAUGGACAACAGGUUGAUAUUCCUGUACUAGAGUAUAUAGUGAUGGAGGGACGCAGUAGGCUAACUAAACCAGACGAUUGGAAGUGUCUGGCCAAGCAGUGAGGUGUGAUAUGAGUCAAAUGCUUAUAUCUCUAACAUUGAGCUGUGAUGGGGAGCGAAGUUUAGUAGCGAAGUUAGUGAUGUCACACUGCCGAGAAAAGCUUCUAGCGUUAAUUAUACUCUACCCGUACCGCAAACCGACACAGGUAGUCGAGGCGAGUAGCCUCAGGUGAGCGAGAGAACUCUCGUUAAGGAACUCGGCAAAAUGGCCCCGUAACUUCGGGAGAAGGGCGCUGACUGAUGGUCAGCCGCAGUGAAUAGGCCCAAGCAACUGUUAUCAAAAACACAGCUCUCUGCUAAAUCGUAAGAUGAUGUAUAGGGGGUGACGCCUGCCCGGUGCUGGAAGGUUAAGAGGAGUGCUUAGCGUAAGCGAAGGUAUGAAUUGAAGCCCCAGUAAACGGCGGCCGUAACUAUAACGGUCCUAAGGUAGCGAAAUUCCUUGUCGGGUAAGUUCCGACCCGCACGAAAGGCGUAAUGAUUUGGGCACUGUCUCAACGAGAGACUCGGUGAAAUUUUAGUACCUGUGAAGAUGCAGGUUACCCGCGACAGGACGGAAAGACCCCAUGGAGCUUUACUGCAGUUUGAUAUUGAGUAUCUGUACCACAUGUACAGGAUAGGUAGGAGCCUAUGACCUCGGGACGCCAGUUUCGAGUGAGGCGUUGUUGGGAUACUACCCUUGUGUUAUGGCUACUCUAACCCAGAUAGGUUAUCCCUAUCGGAGACAGUGUCUGACGGGCAGUUUGACUGGGGCGGUCGCCUCCUAAAAGGUAACGGAGGCGCCCAAAGGUUCCCUCAGAAUGGUUGGAAAUCAUUCGCAGAGUGUAAAGGUAUAAGGGAGCUUGACUGCGAGAGCUACAACUCGAGCAGGGACGAAAGUCGGGCUUAGUGAUCCGGUGGUUCCGUAUGGAAGGGCCAUCGCUCAACGGAUAAAAGCUACCCUGGGGAUAACAGGCUU
rnacentral:rRNA from 1 species